AAUGAACGUUGGCGGCGUGGAUUAGGCAUGCAAGUCGAGCGAGAAACCAAUUGGCUUGCUAAGAGGUGGACAGCGGCGAAAGGGAGAGUAACGCGUGGUUACGUGCCCUCGGGACCGGGAUAGUGUUGGGAAACUGGCAGUAAUACCGGAUAACAUCUAAGGAUCAAAUGGUGAGAUUCCGCCCGAGGAUCGGACCGCGUACUAUUAGCUUGUUGGCGGGGUAACGGCCCACCAAGGCUGCGAUGGUUACCGGGUGUGAGAGCAUGGCCCGGCUCACUGGGACUGAGACACUGCCCAGACAUCUACGGAUGGCUGCAGUCGAGAAUCUUCGGCAAUGGACGAAAGUCUGACCGAGCGACGCCGCGUGCGGGAUGAAGGCCCUCGGGUUGUAAACCGCUGUCAGUUGGGAGGAAAUUCAUGGGGGUUCUCCCCUGUGAUUGACCGAGCUUCAGAGGAAGGACGGGCUAAGUUCGUG
rnacentral:rRNA from 1 species